CGCAUCUGUGCAUGCAGCAUAUCAAUAAGCGGAGGAAAAGAAACUAACAAGGAUUCCCUUAGUAACGGCGAGUGAAGCGGGAAGAGCUCAAAUUUGAAAUCUUCAAGGUUUUACCUUGACGAAUUGUAGUUUAAAGAAGUGUUUUCUGUUGAAGUUUUGGUAAAAGUUCUUUAGAAUAGGACAUCAUAGAGGGUGAGAAUCCCGUAUUUGACCAUUAUUUUCAGCUGUGUGAUACACUUUCAAAGAGUCGGAUUGUUUGGGAAUGCAGUCCAAAAUGGGUGGUAAAUUUCAUCUAAAGCUAAAUAUUGGCGAGAGACCGAUAGCGAACAAGUACCGUGAGGGAAAGAUGAAAAGAACUUUGAAAAGAGAGUUAAACAGUACGUGAAAUUGUCAAAAGGGAAGCGUUUGACACCAGUGUUGUUUUCUCGAAAAUCAAUUAAAAAGAGUUUGAUUUUGUUGUGUAUUGACCUUAACAGCUUGCAUUUCAAUUUUCUUGCUUUUUUUAAUGCACUUUUCGUUUAACAAGUCAACAUCAGUUUCUUUUGUUGUAAAAAGGUCAUUGGAAGGUGGCUUUACUUUUCGGAGAAAGUGUUUAUAGCCUCUGACUCCUGCAAUCGGAGAGACUGAGGUCUGCAGCGUAGAUCCUUCGGGGUUAGAUACAUUUGUGCUAAGUUAUAGCUUUUUAUAGACAACUUGUUGACUAUGAUUAGUCUUGUAGCUUACUCGCUUAUGCUAUUUUACCUACGCUUAGGAUGUUGACGCGCGUGUGUGCGU
rnacentral:rRNA from 1 species